rnacentral:rRNA from 1 species
UACGUAGGGUGCGAGCGUUAAUCGGAAUUACUGGGCGUAAAGCGUGCGCAGGCGGUUUGCUAAGACAGGUGUGAAAGCCCCGGGCUUAACCUGGGAAUUGCGCUUGUGACUGGCAGACUGGAGUGUGGCAGAGGGAGGUGGAAUUCCACGUGUAGCAGUGAAAUGCGUAGAGAUGUGGAGGAACACCGAUGGCGAAGGCAGCCUCCUGGGCCAGCACUGACGCUCAGGCACGAAAGCGUGGGGAGCAAACAGG